rnacentral:lncRNA from 1 species
CUGCUUCUUGCACUACCAAAUCUGGAAUUCCUGAGACAGCCAGAAGACACAGUGUCCUUGUUCUACAGUUCUACUGAGAGAGAGACUUCUAAGUUGUGUGUAUCUGUGUCCAUGUGUGUGUGUGUUCUUAUGGAGUCAGAGAGGUCAGGUGUCGGUCUUGCCUUCAACCUUGCUAUUUCUGCUGUUCUCACCCUCUUAUGACAGAGUAGCUGGCUCUCAAGCUUCCAGGGAUUCUCCUGUCUCCAUUCCCACCUUGCUGUAGGAACACUUAGGUUACAAACAUUACUGCUCCCAGCUUUCAGUGAGUUCUGGGGACUCAAACUACCCACUGAGCUUUCUUUCCAGCUCUGAUCACCACCCCCCCAAGCAGGCUAAGAUCCCAUAACUUAAAAUUUUUCAUUUUUCAGAGAUGUCAUUAAAAAGAAAUUCAAGCUGGGUAUGGUGAGGUGAUCUUGUAAUCCUAGCACUCUAAGGCGGGGUAGGAUGAUUCUGACUUCAAGGCCAGUCUGGGCUACACAGAGAAACUGAGGGAGAAAGGAACAAAAUAAGUAGGAAGAGUGAGAGUGAGCUGCCCAAGACCACAGCUUCAUGUUCCCUGAGGACAUUUGGGCAGAGAAGGGUAGAAGGAAGUGUACCCCCAGGGGCAGACAAACAGGGCCAAGAAGGGAGAAGGUGAUGAUCCAGGGACCUUGCUGGACUCUGUAGUCCCAUUUGGCAGACUCCCAAUUCUGGGGUCCUCCUUUCCUGAAGGGGCUGUUUCCUUGCUCCAAUCAAGCUGGUGCUUACACCUUCUCCCUGCUUGGGUCUUCUUUCUUUUCUGACAGUCAAGUCUUCCUCAUCUCACAGAAUGACCUUGGAAAACCCCUAGCCAACUACCCAAAGACCUGUCACAAGGCUGCAUUUCAAAACAAACAAACCAACAGAAAACAACCAAGAUUUUAAAAAAAAUCUUAAUCAGAACCUGUGUUGGAACUUAACCUCCACGAAUCCCAGGCAGCAAGAAGAUUAUCAUCUGAUGUGCCCCCUUGACCUUGGACCUCCGAGCACACAGAACUGUGAGAAUUGUGGUGGUUAGUUUUAAAUGCCAACUUUCUAUAGCCUAGGGUCUCCUGGGAAGAGAGCCUGAAAGGGGAUUGCCUAGAGCAGGUUGGCUCUGGACAUGCCCAUGGAGAUUAUCAUGAUUAUUUUAGUUGAGGUAGAAACUCAACCCAUUGUAGGUGGCAUCAUUACAUAGGCUUGGGCUUGAACUUUGUAAGAAUGAGGAAAGCUAGCUGAAUUGAGAACAGCAAGCAGGAGGCACACAAGGCAUUUGUUC